UACGUAGGGUCCGAGCGUUGUCCGGAAUUACUGGGCGUAAAGAGCUCGUAGGUGGUUUGUCGCGUUGUUCGUGAAAACUCACAGCUCAACUGUGGGCGUGCGGGCGAUACGGGCAGACUGGAGUACUGCAGGGGAGACUGGAAUUCCUGGUGUAGCGGUGGAAUGCGCAGAUAUCAGGAGGAACACCGGUGGCGAAGGCGGGUCUCUGGGCCGUAACUGACGCUGAGGAGCGAAAGCGUGGGGAGCGAACAGG
rnacentral:rRNA from 1 species